rnacentral:rRNA from 1 species
GACAGAGGGUGCAAACGUUGUCCGGAAUUAUUGGGCGUAAAGAGCUCGUAGGCGGUCUGUCGCGUCGGCUGUGAAAGCCCGGAGCUCAACUCCGGGUCUGCAGUCGAUACGGGCAGACUUGAGUGUUGCAGGGGAGACUGGAAUUCCUGGUGUAGCGGUGAAAUGCGCAGAUAUCAGGAGGAACACCGGUGGCGAAGGCGGGUCUCUGGGCAACAACUGACGCUGAGGAGCGAAAGCGUGGGGAGCGAACAGG